rnacentral:tmRNA from 1 species
GGGGGCGAAAUAGGAUCGACGUGCCUAAUAAAAAGAUUGCUUUUACUCGGGAUGAUUCCGCCGAUGGCUUUUGCCAUAUGGGUCAAAACAAAGAAACGCAAACGAUAAUAAUCGUUCUGUAGGUCGUUUAGCUUUAGCAGCUUAACCCUACGCGGCUGGAGGGUGUGCCGGGCAACAGAAAAACCCUCGCU